GGUAAGGUGGCUCAGUGGAAGAGCACUUGCCUUGCAUGCAUGAGGCCCUGGGUUUGAUUCCUCAGCACCA
rnacentral:tRNA from 1 species